GUGAAUCAUCGAAUUUUUGAACGCAAAUUGCACUCUCUUCGGAGAGUAUGCCUGUUUGAGGGUCAGCCUAAAAAAAAAACCGAAAUAGUUGCUGUUUCGCGGGGACAUUUGUUGGAAAUUUGGUAAUUUUAAACUUUUGGGUUUUAAUUUGUUUAAAUUUUUUUUUACGUAUAGACGAACGUUUAUAAGA
rnacentral:misc_RNA from 1 species